AAGAGGACAAGAAAAUCAGAACAGCAACAUUUGUUCCAUUGUUGCCAUUAACAGAUAAGGCAAAUCUGUCAAGUUAACACAAAUGGUUUACAAACCUUUCUGUUGCAAGAAAAAAGAUCCUAUUAUAGCGCUGGUCAUGAUAGAAAACUUCACAACGCUUAUAAGGACAGAUCGUAACCAGGUUAAAUUGGUGGAUAGCAAGUUUAUGGUAUUUGGACAAGUCUAACUGAACCUAAUAUUUCAAAACAAGGACAAUUGCUAGCUCCACACUCAACAAUAAGGUAUGACACGCUGAAAUGAUACUUGAGAGAAAAUACUGCAACAGUGCAGGACAUAAGGAAUUUAAAGAAACAAGUUACCAUUCCUGAAAAGGAAAAAUAAAGAGGAGCUUAAGUGAAAAGUUCUGGAAAUCCUAAAUGCAUGUUUUGUCCAUAAAAUAUAACAGCUCAAUCAAAUAAACAAAGCCUCCCACAAGUUGAUUUAAAGCCUUUGUUUUUUUGGGGGGAAUAGGGUACCU
rnacentral:misc_RNA from 1 species